AACAAAUUUUCCUAUGCGAAGACUUAUGCAAAAGAUUGGAGGAGAAAAUUUCUGGAGUUGCUUUGGAGGAGAAACAAAAAAAGCUGCUGCGCAGUUUUAUGGAGCAAAUAAUCUUGGCCGGUUCCAGACCAUAAGGAUCUUUAUGAGCCUCAUUCCAGCAGUGUAUGAUGUAUGAGGUUUCAGAAGGCUUCAAUUGUACUAUUUUGGCUGUGGGAAAACGAGUACAGGGAAGACAUAUACGAAUG